AGCAUCCUUUUGGUAGUAGUCAUAGUCUAUGGUAUAUUUACCCUUGAUUGAAUGGUAAUGAAUGGCAUUUUACUGGUCUUUGACCUUUAAACUUAAUACAACUUUCAGCAACGGAUCUCUUGGCUCUCGCAUCGAUGAAGAACGCAGCGAAAUGCGAUAAGUAAUGUGAAUUGCAGAAUUCAGUGAAUCAUCGAAUCUUUGAACGCACCUUGCGCUCCUUGGUAUUCCGAGGAGCAUGCCUGUUUGAGUGUCAUUAAAUUCUCAACCUUAUCAGUUUUUUAUUAAAUUGGUUCAAGGCUUGGAUUUUGGGAGUUGCAGGCUUCUCUUUUGAAGUCAGCUCUUCUUAAAUGUAUUAGUGGAGACUUGUAACCGUCGCCUUGGUGUGAUAAUUAUCUGCGCCUUGGUGUAUUGGUGACUAGUAAUGUCUUUGCUUAUAACAGUCCAUUAGAUUGGACAAUCACUUUA
rnacentral:rRNA from 1 species